GGGGCCGACAGGAAUCGACCGGGCAGGGAAGGCCUGCCGUGGCGCGUCGUGGGGCGUGCUGGCCACGUAAAAAGCACGCAAACACAUAACUGCCAACGGCGGUUAUCGUCUCGCGGCCUAACUCGGCCGCAUGGUCCGCUCUCCACGCCCGAUAGGGGGCGGAUCACACGCAUCGGGCUGGUCGCCGCACCGACGCUCUCGGGGUGCGGCGGCGAGACUUUCCGCGAGCUGGGCCGACGGGGACGGUGCCGAUGCCGGACCCCAGGCCGAGACCAAACCAUCGGACACACGCGUAGAGGCGGCUGGCUGACUGUCACGGGACGGGGGUUCAAUUCCCCCCGGCUCCAUUG
rnacentral:tmRNA from 1 species